AAAACAGCACGUCAGUAUGACUUAUGAUUAAAAACAAUUGUUCCUUCUGA
rnacentral:snoRNA from 1 species